GGUGGGUCGGCGACGUCUGAGCAAGUGCAGUGAACCAAAGGGCGGGACCAAGAACCACGCCCCUGAGGGAGUUUGGCUGGAGGGGAGGGGUUUGGAAUGGGCUCCGGGCUCUGCAGAGGAAGAGAACACAUGUGGAGUCUCAGGUCCCCCUUGGCCUGGCCCUGCCCAGGCAAAGCACAAGCCACAUUUUUCCUUUUGUCUUCUUACCAUGAAGAUGGGAAGAUCACAGAAGCUCUGUGUGCUGUCCGAAGGCGAUGUCUUUUAGCAGUGUGCCCAGUGGAACCUCGCAGAAUUCUCAGCAUUAUCCCUUUUCCCCCAUCUCUUGGAACCAGAGCAGAGUGAAGAAGUCCUGUCUCCCAUGUUCUGCCCACCCGUGGAAGGCCCCAGGGAUGCCUGCCGCCCACCGUAUGCAACACCUUGAGCUUCACUGACCCACCUAGUUCCUACUGUCUUCAGUGAAGCUUGAGACAGGUCCUAGAAUUCCCCCUAACUUUUUUUUUUUUUUCGGAGUCUUGCUCUGUCACCCUGGCUGAAGUGCAGUGGUGUAAUCUCAGCUCACUGUAACCUCCACCUCCCAGUUUCAAGCGAUUCUCCUGCCUCAGCCUCCUGAGUAGCUGGGACUACAGGUGUGCACCAUCACACUCACCUAAUUUUUGUAUUUUUAGUAGAGACGGGUUUUCACCAUGUUGGCCAGGCUGGUCUCGAACUUCUGACCUCCAGUGAUUUGCCUGCCUUGGCCUCCCAAAGUGCUGGGAUUACAGGCAUGCGCCACCGCGCCUGGCCUUAGAAUUCAUUUUAUUUGCAUCUCUUUGAGUGUAUUUGCCGUCUUUAGGGCUUCAGCAGGUAAAACUCCAGUCAGCAGCCCCCUUGCUUUUAUAAAAUAAAAGGUGCAACACGCCUGCUGAAACAAGGUUAUUUUGCAUGCACAGUUAUUUUUGUUCUUGUUGUUUCUUUUUGGCUUACAUUUUUAGCUACAUUUCCAGAACCCUGAGAGAAAGUGGCAAGAAACUCUCUGGUGACCGCCAUACUCAUUUUGCCUGAGAGAUGCUAUAGAGAAACUCCCUCAUCUCUGUAGGUACGGUCUUGUCAUGUUCUGAUGAUGCGCGUUUUCGAGGUGAGAUGCUGCUAAGCUCGUACAGAACAGAAAGAGGUUGACUCAGAAGCGAUUUACGACAGGA
rnacentral:lncRNA from 10 species